rnacentral:rRNA from 1 species
GAUGAACGCUGGCGGCGUGCCUAAUACAUGCAAGUCGAGCGAACAGACGAGGAGCUUGCUCCUCUGACGUUAGCGGCGGACGGGUGAGUAACACGUGGAUAACCUACCUAUAAGACUGGGAUAACUUCGGGAAACCGGAGCUAAUACCGGAUAAUAUAUUGAACCGCAUGGUUCAAUAGUGAAAGACGGUUUUGCUGUCACUUAUAGAUGGAUCCGCGCCGCAUUAGCUAGUUGGUAAGGUAACGGCUUACCAAGGCAACGAUGCGUAGCCGACCUGAGAGGGUGAUAGGCCACACUGGAACUGAGACACGGUCCAGACUACUACGGGAGGCAGCAGUAGGCAAUCUUCCGCAAUGGGCGAAAGCCUGACGGAGCAACGCCGCGUGAGUGAUGAAGGUCUUCGGAUCGUAAAACUCUGUUAUUAGGGAAGAACAAAUGUGUAAGUAACUAUGCACGUCUUGACGGUACCUAAUCAGAAAGCCACGGCUAACUACGUG